rnacentral:pre_miRNA from 1 species
GUAAUUUUGUUAUUCAAUUAUGUUAGUAUUUAUUUUAUGAGUAAUUAUCUUAUGAGACCCUUCCACACUCAUGUAUGCUGGACUUCAAAGGAUCAACCAUUAAAUUUGGCAUAGAUCUUUAGAAAAGUUAUCACAUGACUGUGAAAUUUGACUUUCUUAGAGAUCUGUGUCAAAUUUAAUGGUAAUCUUUUGGGGUCCUACACACAUGGGUGAGGAGGAUCUUACAAGGUCAUUUCUCUUGUUUUAUUUAGGUGAUUUGGAAUUUAUAUAUAAUUUAUGGUUAUUAC